ensembl:lncRNA
AGAGAGUUUAUUUUUUAACAGGGCAACACAAGGAGAAACUCACAGAACAAGAUGCAGCAGCCAAGAAUUGAGAACAACAGUCUGCAGUCAGCAUGUGAAUUCAGUACUUUUUCCUUCAAAGGAAGAUAACAGGAAAGCAACGACAACAAAAAAAAUGAAAACUGCAAGAAAGUGUGAGGCAUGGGGUUAUGAAGGAUAAUCCUGACUGCACUGGAGCAAUACCCUUGUAGACCCUGUUGUGAAAGUGGAGCUCGUGGGAAGAGGCUACCUGAGCUGGCAGUGGUAAUCCAGAACUGGAGUAUGAAGUAUGACCAUAGCCUGCACCAACAAAGCUGUCUACAUCUCCAAAGCAAAGAAGUUCCACAUAGCAGCACUGAUUACAUCUCUACAGAAGUGCUCUAACAAGUCCAAGAAAGCCAUCUGAAAACAUGAAAGAAGAUUUCAGAGACCUGACCCUUCUUACCCUGAAUACUCUGUGCCCCCCACUGAUGUUGGCAUAGGAGGAAUGUAUGUUUGAACAGACUGCUGCCUGUAUCAGCUUUUGACACUCAGCUGCUAAUAUGGUCUUGAUAGCAUGUUACUGCCUGGUAUUUGAUCUUACCGCAUAUCCAACUUAGGUCACAGCGGAUGUCUGUGUAAGAAUUGCAUGUACAUGGCUUCUGGUGCCUACUGACAAAUUUGCUUUUAACCCUGGUAAACCUCGCCACCAUUCAUGGAACUCAGUAUAGUCUCGUUGUGAGAUAAUGACUGCUUAAGAACUGACUACUGGUGAUUGUCAAAUCUGACUGGUAAAAGUGCUAGGAUAAUUCGAUCCAGAAAAGAAAAAGACAUUUCGGUGCUACCAAGGCUCAGCACCAACAGAAUCCCUUGAGUCAGAGCAAACAGGAGCCAGGAGCUCAGCAAACAGUUUGAAGCUCUUUAAGCACUGCUGUGCAUGAUCUCACCUCAGGAAAUCUCUUCUGUCCUUCAUAGGAAAGUCAUCCUUCUGGUCAUUCCUACCAGUAGCACACUCACACUUACCCCACAGCCACAGCCAUUGUCCUCUUGCCAGUAAACAGUCACAGUGUGACCGAAAUUUCCAGGCUUUGCUGACCUGAUGCAUGAUUUCCCUGGGUGCCUCCUGGAGUUGGCUCUUGGGAGCCCUUCCCAUCUCUACAGCUGUCAGGAAAGUUGCAACACUGAAAUUAAUUCCCUCAUGUGGUUUCAGGGGAAUCAAUUUUGGAGCCCACGUGGAUGGCAGUUUCUCCUGUGCAAUGGGGUUCAUGCCUACCAGACAUGGGUAGCUCGGGGAAGGGGAGAAGACUUUUACUUCCCAGAGGAAUUCAGAGACAUUGGAAUACCAGGUUUCUACAAACUAUCAGGACUUUCUUAUAUUGCAUCUAUCUAAGAAGUUGAUGAAUUUCAGUUUCCUCCAUUUCAGAUUGGUUUUUAGGCAUUUUUUUCCCUUCUGAGUUACAACACUGAUCGAUUGAAAGUGCUGUUAUGCCAUGUAGCAAAAAAACAAACAACAACAACAACAACAAAAAACAACAACACAACCCUGCUGUGAGGAAACAAUGCCCAGACCCUUCUGCCAGCAAGAAUAUCCAGUUGAGAUUAUUAAAACUCAAGGCACUGUUGAAUUCAUCCGCAAAAGGAUGCAGACAACAGGACAAAACUCUAGCAGUCUCUCAUUCCCUACUACUAUUGUUCAAAGUGACGUUCUGGCACAAGCUGUUAGGAAGAACAAAAGUGUACAUCUGGACAAUAAAACUGACAGCACCUACACAUGUUGAAGUGAAGUCUCGGAUGAAGCAAAGAGUCAAGAGCUGCUCUAGUCUGGUCAAAAGGAGCUAAACAUAUGCUUACAUAGGUGGGACAGUCUUGUCUUAAAGUCAGCGGGACUCCACUUAUACAAAGCUGAAUUUCAUUAAGAUGGAGAGGCACCGAUGCAAAGAUGUUAGAAGGAGUGGAUCAUAAUAUUCCUGUCUCACAGCUGGGCAAGGAAGCUGUCCAAUAUUAUUUCUAUUGUGAAUGAGUCUCUCACAAAGGUGAAACACAAGGUUCAGAUCACAUUCCCAUGUGCUGCAGGCAAAAAUAAAAGAAAAAUGGGAGUUAAGACAUUAUUUCACUUCCUAGAAGACCAUUAAUGCUUUUUGCAGUUAAAAAUCCACAGCAGUCUAUUUUGAUUCUAAACAAUUUGCUAGAAAUUGCAGGUUCAUGACUUUGAGUUAGGAUGGGGCAGAUGAGCAGUUCUCAAGUCUGCCUACUGCUUUGUCCAUACAUCCAGUAGCUCACCUGCAGAGGCAGCACACAAUUCACUUGUAAAAUUUUGUGUGAAAUAAAAGCUGGUAAGGUAAGGUAGGGUAACAUCACCUUGAUUUCUGGCAGAAAUGUCAAGGUUUCUGGAAGGUACAAACAUCCUAAAUGUUUAAAAGGUUUCUGACAAGAGAAUGUUGCUUGGCUUUCAGACAGCUGCCUGGAUUCUGGGAUCCACACACCUUUGAUUUCCACUUCAGCUUUCCUCCAGAGGUUCUCUGCACAUUCACCAGCAAAGUUGGCUGCAUCUCCUAUUUCGUGCAAGGGAUUUGCUGCAGCCACAGUACGGUCUUAGCUAAAGAGCAGAGAUAUUUACUGUUGCAAGCAAUCAGUGGUGACCACAUGGGACAUGCAAAAGACAAGCUAAGGGGAACCAACUGUCUGAGCUGGGGACUGUUCUGAUCCUGUGUUCUAAAUGCCUACUACUGACUGUUCAGUAACUUUCAGCACUUAGUUUUUCUUCUUUUAACAUUAAAACAACACCUUU